GAAAGACCUCACUCUCUCUUAUCUCUCCGUCUGCACUCUCUCUCUCGUGCUCAGACCUCUCGAAUCGUUUCUGCACUUUCUCCUCUCCUCCUCCGCUCUGUCAACAGACUCAACACCUCUCUAAUCUCUCGAAUCGUCCCUGCCUCUGCCGACAGACUCAACACGUUGGCCGUCGAGUCAUCGACCAUCACGCUUGUAUGACUCCUCCAUAUUCCAGAUCCAGACUUUCACGGUUUCACCUCCAUCUCCCACCACGACCUCCAAAUCGAAGCUUCUCUGAUCUGAAGGGACGAGUAGAUGCAACAUUCUCCGUAUGACUAGACUUUCACCCAACUGAGAGUCCGACGGCGUGCGCGGAUGAAAGAGUUUCAGAGAAGAAUGGAUGCAAAAAAAAGUAAACAACUAAAAAGAUGAUAACUAAUAAGCAAAAGGAAGGCCAAAGGAAGUGUACUAACCCAGCUGGGACCAUAACUUCUGAUGUUACUGCAAAUUUGAAUUUUUCUCUACUUUUGUGGCAAGGGGAUUUGAGUUUUUUUUUAGUUUGUUUGUGGGGAGCGGCUCUAUUUAUAUAGCAUUCAUGCACGGGGUCGGCUCUACAUAGUGUCCGUGUAUCCCUGAGCCGUGAGCAGAUGGGACGGGGGGAAGCCUGAACCGUGGAGCGGACACUGGGGGUGGGGUGGAAGCCUGAGCCCUGGAGCAGACAGGACUGGGGGGAGAGGAGCCUUGUAUGCUUAAGCCGUGAGCAGGCAAAAAGGGGGAGGAAGGGUGGGGUGGGGUUGUGUUUAUAUACUGUGUGAGGUUCGAGCAAGAAGAGGAUAAAUUUUUCGAUGCGCCGGGAACUCCAACUCAAGAAGAGGGUAUGAGUAUGACGCACGUAGAGAUGGCAGUUGGCACUAAGUAGGGCCCACUCGUUGUAUUUUAAUUUAGUUUACGGUCCUUGCUUGUCAAUUGGUUUUUCAAUAUGAAUCUAAAUUGCGGAGAUUCUAA